UCCGGAAGGUGCAAUCGUUGUUCGGAUUGACUGGGUGUAAAGGGCGCGUAGGCGGAGAGGUGUGUCGGGAGUGAAAUCGUGCGGCUUAACCGUACAAUGGCUUUCGAAACUACCUCCCUUGAGUACAGAAGGGGUUGAUGGAAUACCUGGUGUAGCGGUGGAAUGCGUAGAUAUCAGGUAGAACACCGGAGGCGAAGGCGGUCAACUGGUCUGUAACUGACGCUGAGGCGCGAAAGUGUGGGGAGAAAACAGG
rnacentral:rRNA from 1 species